UUGAUCUGGUUCAGGACGAACGCUGGCGGCACGCUUAACACAUGCAAGUCGAACGGAGUUUAGAGAGCUUGCUUCUAAACUUAGUGGCGGACGGGUGAGUAACACGUGAGCAACCUGCCUCAAGCGAGGAAUAAUGAGUGGAAACGCUCUGUAAUACCUCAUAACGUAUUUUUUACCGCAUGAUAGGAAUACCAAAGAUUUAUCACUUGAAGAUGGACUCGCGUCCGAUUAGCUAGUUGGUGAGGUAACGGCUCACCAAGGCGACGAUCGGUAGCCGUACUGAGAGGUAGAUCGGCCACAUUGGGACUGAGACACGGCCCAGACUCCUACGGGAGGCAGCAGUGGGGAAUAUUGCACAAUGGAGGAAACUCUGAUGCAAGCGAUGCCGCGUGAGCGAAGAAGGCCUUUUGGUUGUAAAGCUCUGUUAUCAGGGACGAAAAUGACGGUACCUGAGGAGGAAGCUCCGGCUAACUACGUGCCAGCCGCUGC
rnacentral:rRNA from 1 species